rnacentral:sRNA from 12 species
UUGCGCCUGUGGCGGGUCCGGCACGAUUCUUAAUAGGCUUCGCAGGCAGCCGGGUCGUGUACGAUCUUGUACAUCCAAGAAUUGUCUUGGAUUUAAUGAUUUCU